rnacentral:rRNA from 1 species
GACGAACGCUGGCGGCGUGCUUAACACAUGCAAGUCGAACGGAAAGGCCCUGCUUUUGUGGGGUGCUCGAGUGGCGAACGGGUGCGUAACACGUGAGUAACCUGCCCUUGACUUUGGGAUAACUUCAGGAAACUGGGGCUAAUACCGGAUAGGAGCUCCUGCUGCAUGGUGGGGGUUGGAAAGUUUCGGCGGUUGGGGAUGGAUUGGCGGCUUAUCGGCUUGUUGGUGGGGUAGUGGCUUACCCAGGCUUUGACGGGUAGCCGGCCUGAGAGGGUGACCGGCCACAUUGGGACUGAGAUACGGCCCAGACUCCUACGGGAGGCAGCAGGGGGGAAUAUUGCACAAUGGGCGGAAGCCUGAUGCAGCAACGCCGCGUGCGGGAUGACGGCCUUCGGGUUGUAAACCGCUUUAGCCUGUGACGAAGCGUGAGUGACGGUAAUGGGUAAAGAAGCACCGGCUAACUACGUG